AUUGAACGCUGGCGGCAUGCUUUACACAUGCAAGUCGAACGGUAACAGGCCGCAAGGUGCUGACGAGUGGCGAACGGGUGAGUAAUGCAUCGGAACGUGCCCAGUCGUGGGGGAUAACUAUCCGAAAGGAUAGCUAAUACCGCAUACGAUCUGCGGAUGAAAGCGGGGGACCUUCGGGCCUCGCGCGAUUGGAGCGGCCGAUGUCAGAUUAGGUAGUUGGUGGGGUAAAGGCUCACCAAGCCAACGAUCUGUAGCUGGUCUGAGAGGACGACCAGCCACACUGGGACUGAGACACGGCCCAGACUCCUACGGGGGGCAGCAGUGGGGAAUUUUGGACAAUGGGCGCAAGCCUGAUCCAGCAAUGCCGCGUGCAGGAAGAAGGCCUUCGGGUUGUAAACUGCUUUUGUACGGAACGAAACGGCUCUGGUUAAUACCUGGGGCUAAUGACGGUACCGUAAGAAUAAGCACCGGCUAACUACGUGCCAGCAGCCGCGGUAA
rnacentral:rRNA from 1 species